rnacentral:rRNA from 1 species
AUGAACGCUGGCGGCGUGCCUAAUACAUGCAAGUCGAGCGAACGGACGAGAAUCUUGCUUCUCUGAUGUUAGCGGCGGACGGGUGAGUAACACGUGGAUAACCUACCUAUAAGACUGGGAUAACUUCGGGAAACCGUAGCUAAUACCGGAUAAUAUUUUGAACCGCAUGGUUCAAAAGUGAAAGACGGUCUUGCUGUCACUUAUAGAUGGAUCCGCGCUGCAUUAGCUAGUUGGUAAGGUAACGGCUUACCAAGGCAACGAUGCAUAGCCGACCUGAGAGGGUGAUCGGCCACACUGGAACUGAGACACGGUCCAGACUCCUACGGGAGGCAGCAGUAGGGAAUCUUCCGCAAUGGGCGAAAGCCUGACGGAGCAACGCCGCGUGAGUGAUGAAGGUCUUCGGAUCGUAAAACUCUGUUAUUAGGGAAGAACAUAUGUGUAAGUAACUGUGCACAUCUUGACGGUACCUAAUCAGAAAGCCACGGCUAACUACGAG